GAUGAACGCUGGCGGCGUGCCUAAUACAUGCAAGUCGAGCGAACAGACGAGGAGCUUGCUUCUCUGACGUUAGCGGCGGACGGGUGAGUAACACGUGGAUAACCUACCUAUAAGACUGGGAUAACUUCGGGAAACCGGAGCUAAUACCGGAUAAUAUAUUGAACCGCAUGGUUCAUUAGUGAAAGACGGUUUUGCUGUCACUUAUAGAUGGAUCCGCGCCGCAUUAGCUAGUUGGUAAGGUAACGGCUUACCAAGGCAACGAUGCGUAGCCGACCUGAGAGGGUGAUCGGCCACACUGGAACUGAGACACGGUCCAGACUCCUACGGGAGGCAGCAGUAGGGAAUCUUCCGCAAUGGGCGAAAGCCUGACGGAGCAACGCCGCGUGAGUGAUGAAGGUCUUCGGAUCGUAAAACUCUGUUAUUAGGGAAGAACAAAUGUGUAAGUAACUAUGCACGUCUUGACGGUACCUAAUCAGAAAGCCACGGCUAACUACGUG
rnacentral:rRNA from 1 species